rnacentral:lncRNA from 1 species
AAUAGGGCCAUUUAUACGGAACAAAAUAAGACGCGACUUACAUAAGACGCGACUUAGGUAAGACGCGAGUUUGUCGUAUAAAAGGUACAAAAUUCUUAUGUAAGACGCGUCUUGGAUAAGACGCAUCUUACAUAAGAACAGGUCUUUUAGCUGUUCUUAUUUAAGUCGCGUCUUAAAUAAGAAAUUUUGGACAAAAAGUCUAACUACACAUGCCAGAAACUUGAAAUGUAAAAUUUAAUGCCUUGUAUAUUAAAACAAAAACAACCAAAACAACAUUAUAGCUGUAGCAAAUAAAUAAGACCAAAGCCGUAGAGAACCAUUUAUGCGAUAACUCCACUUAUUUAAGUUGCGUCUUAUGUAAGUCGCGACUUAUUUUG